AGAGAUGGCUUGGUGCCCGAAAGGGAAUCGGAACACAGGUGCUGCAUGGCUGUCGUCAGCUCGUGUCGUGAGAUGUUGGGUUAAGUCCCGCAACGAGCGCAACCCUUAUCAUUAGUUGCUACGCAAGGGCACUCUAAUGAGACUGCCGGUGACAAACCGGAGGAAGGUGGGGAUGACGUCAAGUCCUCAUGGCCCUUAUGGGUAGGGCUUCACACGUCAUACAAUGGUCGGUACAGAGGGUUGCCAAGCCGCGAGGUGGAGCCAAUCCCAGAAAGCCGAUCGUAGUCCGGAUUGUUCUCUGCAACUCGAGAGCAUGAAGUCGGAAUCGCUAGUAAUCGCGGAUCAGCAUGUCGCGGUGAAUACGUUCCCGGGUCUU
rnacentral:rRNA from 1 species